rnacentral:rRNA from 1 species
AAGGUAGCAUAAUCAUUUGCCUCUUAAUUAGUGGCUAGUAUGAAUGGACAAACGAAAAUUCUGCUGUCUCUGUAAAGCUAAUGAAAAUUAAUCUUCAGGUGAAGAAGCCUGAAUCUUAUUAAAAGACAAAAAGACCCUAUUGAGCUUAUAUUCUAUAACUAAAAUAUAAAAAUAAAAUAAAACCAUCUUUCUUUCCAGAAUUUUGCUGGGGCGGCAAAGGAACAACCAAAAAUUCCUUUUUACAAAGACUUAUCAGUCUAUUAAUUGAUCCGUAUUAACGAUUAACAAAACUAGUUACCAUAGGGAUAACAGGCUAAUUUUUCUCUAAAGCUCACAUUAACAGAAAAGAUUGGCACCUCGAUGUUGGCUUAGGAUAUCCCAAAGGCGCAGAAGCUUUUUAAGGUAGGUUUGUUCAACCUUUAAAAUCCUACGUGAUCUGAG